CCAAAAACGGUUCCAUCCUUUUUAGACUUUUUAAUUUUAUUAUGGUUUCUAAGUUUAUUUGAUUCUUAUUAAUUAUGGUAGUUAAAACAAUUUCACUUACCAGUUAAAAAACUUAAUUUACAAUAUAAAUAUUAGCUUAGUUGAGAUCAUAUUCUUUAGGUAAAUAAGGUGCCAGCAACCGCGGUCAUACCUUAUUUAAAGAUAUAACUAUUUAUAAAAAAAUACUAAAUUCUUUACAAAAAAGUACUUUUCAGUAAAAUGAAAGUACUUUUUUUUUCUUAAAAGUAAACUACAAAAAAAUCAUUUUUAAUAAACUAGGAUUAGAUACCCUACUAUUUUGAUAGAUUUGGCUUUUUUGAGGAUUAUAUUUACUAAAAAUUAAACUCAAAUAUUAUGGCGGCUGUAAAAACCUUUAGGGGAACUUACCAGAUAAAUGAUAACCACCAAGAAAAAUCUUCUUUAAUUUAUAGUUUGUAUGCCGUCGUCAUAAAGAUAUAUUUAAAAUAUACCUUUUAACACUUAUAUAAUAUGUAUUAUGACAGAUCAAGGUGCAGCUAAUGUUAAUGAUUCUAGGCGAGUUACAAUAAUUACUUAUUCACGGUUGUAAUAAAUUAUUUUUAUUACAUAAGCAGGACUUAAAAGUAAAAAAUAAAUAUAUUAUACUAUUUGAAUAUCACUAUUCUGCAGUGC
rnacentral:rRNA from 1 species